GGCAUGAGCCCUCACCUCUCACCUUUUAGCUCCAGUGCCAUGCCUGCCUGCUGUAAUGUUUCCCAAUCAUGAUAGUGAUGGACCUCUCCCUCUGGAAUGGUUUUCCACAAGCCUUUCAAAGAGACUUUGCUUGGCCUCCUCUACUUCCUUUUCUGAUGAAGAUGGAUGAGCAGUCUAUCCUGGGACACUUGCCUAGCUGGAUGGUUCUUAGUUCACUCCCUACUAAAAAGAGCUAUGGGUAGAUGGCAUGACCACUUGGCACAACUAGAAACCAUCCUAUCAUUAUAACUAAAAUAUUUAAUUCCACACCCUUGGAGACUCCCCAUUUUUUUGGUUGACCAUCUCACUUUUGGGUUUAGACUCUGGCAACUUAAAUAAAACUCUAUGUUAAUCCUCCCCCUCUUCAAUUUGAGACUAUGAGAAGACACCACAAAAAGAAGCUCCGUUCAGGACAAGAUCUGUCCUGACAGAGACCAGCUUCUGUCCAACAAUUUCAAGGGCAAGACAGAGAGAGA